rnacentral:rRNA from 1 species
UACGGAGGGGGCGAGCGUUGUUCGGAAUAACUGGGCGUAAAGCGCGCGUAGGCGGGCCUGUAAGUUAGGUGUGAAAUCCCGGGGCUUAACCUCGGAAUAGCAUUUCAGACUAUGAGUCUAGAGUUCGUGAGAGGGGAGUAGAAUUCCGCGUGUAGAGGUGAAAUGCGUAGAGAUUCGGAGGAAUACCGGAGGCGAAGGCGGCCCACUGGGACGAUACUGACGCUGAGGUGCGAAAGCGUGGGGAGCAAACAGG